rnacentral:rRNA from 1 species
GAUCAGUGUAUAUAAUAGAGCGCUUGAUUUCGUCCCUCAACGGAAGCCUUGAAAACAAAGCCUGCCUCCGGGUAGGCGACAUUCGCCUGUAGCUGGAAGCUUCUCCCCUAUUCUUUAGGGGUCAACAAUCAGCUGCUGCACGCUAAACGCGUGUAGUCCACAGAUCAAACGCGAGUGGCCUCUUCUCUUUGUAGGUUCCUAAGAGAAGCGGUUAAGAUAUGACCGUAGCAGCUCUGCGAAGAGCCUGGUAUACUAGUUCCGUAGGUGAACCUGCGGAAGGAUCAUUA